GACGAACGCUGGCGGCGUGCUUAACACAUGCAAGUCGAACGGGUCUGCCCUGUUUUUUGCGGGGUGGGUCAGUGGCGAACGGGUGAGUAACACGUGAGUAACCUGCCCCUCACUUCUGGAUAACCGCUUGAAAGGGUGGCUAAUACGGGGUGUUCUGGCUGUGCCGCAUGGUGUGGCUGGGAAAGAUUCACUUUUGUGGGGUUUUGGUGGGGGAUGGGCUCGCGGCCUAUCAGCUUGUUGGUGGGGUGAUGGCCUGCCAAGGCUUUGACGGGUAGCCGGCCUGAGGGGGUGGGCGGUCACACUGGGACUGAGAUACGGCCCAGACUCCUGCGGGAGGCAGCAGUGGGGGGUAUUGCACAAUGGGCGGAAGCCUGAUGCAGCGACGUCGCGUGAGGGAUGGAGGCCUUCGGGUUGUGAACCUCUUUCGCCGGUGAAGAAGGUCCUGCUCUUUGUGGUGGGGUUGACGGUAGCCGGGUUAUGAAGCGCCGGCUAACUACGUG
rnacentral:rRNA from 1 species